GAUGAACGCUGGCGGCGUGCCUAAUACAUGCAAGUCGAGCGAACAGACGAGGAGCUUGCUCCUCUGACGUUAGCGGCGGACGGGUGAGUAACACGUGGAUAACCUACCUAUAAGACUGGGAUAACUUCGGGAAACCGGAGCUAAUACCGGAUAAUAUAUUGAACCGCGUGGUUCAAUAGUGAAAGACGGUUUUGCUGUCACUUAUAGAUGGAUCCGCGCCGCAUUAGCUAGUUGGUAAGGUAACGGCUUACCAAGGCAACGAUGCGUAGCCGACCUGAGAGGGUGAUCGGCCACACUGGAACUGAGACACGGUCCAGACUCCUACGGGAGGCAGCAGUAGGGAAUCUUCCGCAAAGGGCGAAAGCUUGACGGAGCAACGCCGCGUGAGUGAUGAAGGUCUUCGGAUCGUAAAACUCUGUUAUUAGGGAAGAACAAAUGUGUAAGUAACUAUGCACGUCUUGACGGUACCUAAUCAGAAAGCCACGGCUAACUACGUG
rnacentral:rRNA from 1 species